rnacentral:rRNA from 1 species
AUUCCAGCUCCAAUAGCGUAUAUUAAAGUUGUUGCAGUUAAAAAGCUCGUAGUUGGAUUUCCGGCGUGAGGGAUCAGUCUGACUUCUAGUCAGUACUUGGUCCUCUCAUGCCGUCCUUGAAUGGUGCAUCCUGGCAUUAAGUUGUCGGGGUGAGAGCCGUUCAUCGUUUACUGUGAGAAAAUUAGAGUGUUCAAAGCAGGCUUAUGCCGUUGAAUAUAUUAGCAUGGAAUAAUAAGAUAGGACUUUGGUACUAUUUUGUUGGUUUACGGACCGAUGUAAUGAUUAAUAGGAACAGUUGGGGACAUUUAUAUUCCAUGGCUAGAGGUGAAAUUCUUGGAUUCAUGGAAGAUAAACUAUCGCGAAAGCAUUUGUCAAAGAUGUUUUCAUUA